AACCAACCCCAAUCAAUAGAAUGAUCUUCAGAAAGCUGAAAACCUAUGGAAAUUGGAAGAGUUUGACAGGAUAGACGGGAUUUACAAGCAGAAGAGAGUGGGACAGAGAUUAGAUUUGCAAAACAAACAUACAUAUGUUCAGUAGCAAUACAAACGAACUCAUUAAAUAGAGCAGAGAGGGAAUAUGCUGGGAUGCUGCAGAGGGUUUAGAGGAAGUCUUUCCAGCAACAGCAGGUGCAACUGCAUGCUUAUUAGGGAUGCUCUGUUGCUCAUUAGUUGGCAAUGGAUUUGGCGAAAUAGCAUUUGGAGGUGGCGCAAGAUUUACUUUUGUAUUGUAACUUAUAUCUUGACAAUUUGAAUUAGACCAACCCAAUUUCAAAUUCUCCAUAUCAAAAACAACACGAUAACCUGUCAUGAAGUUUUGUCCAAUAAUACCAUAGUUGAGAUCUAUUGGCUGGAGAGCUAGGCAGAACAUGGUGAAUUUCUGAUUCUGGGGAAUG
rnacentral:misc_RNA from 1 species